rnacentral:lncRNA from 1 species
UUUCUUUCCAUGAUCUACGUUUCCAAAAUAUAAAUAACAAGCUUGUGCUUACAUGUAAAAAAAUUCAAUAAAGAUUAAAUUUCAAAAUUAUAAUUACAAUAGACAGCUCAAAAACGUUUAGAUAAUAUAAGAGGAGUCUAUAACUUUGUUUUCAUUUAUUCCAUAUUGCAUUGGGAAUGAAGGAAGGAUAAACACAAAGAAAACAUUUCAAUUUCACGUUGAAGAUUGUCCCUGUAAGCAAGUUCAGUUGGCAGAGACAGUGCAUGUAAUAUGUAGGGGCCGAGGUUCUAACUCUGGUACUCUCACUUAUUCAUGUUAAAAGGUGAAAUUCUAACCACUAGACUGCUGAUUGACAAAAAAAAAAAGUUCAUGUUCAAG